GGCUGAGCGAAUGGGUGGAGUUGUGGCAGA
rnacentral:sRNA from 1 species